AGGCUCUUAUCAGGUGGAUGAGAUGGUAUGGCCCAAAAUUUAUAAAUUGAGACAGCUUGAUGAAACUCCACUCCAAAGAUCAUGGAACUCAGCUAACCUUCGCAUGUAUUAUCAGUGAUAUUGUAAUUUUGUUGAAGUAUAUGUAUGAAUGAAAGUUUCAAUUAUCAACAUUGGUACUUCUAUAUAUAAGUGAGAGUAAUACUAAUGAGCAGCUUAUAUUGAAACUCAGUCUU
rnacentral:lncRNA from 1 species